GGCUUCUCUCAGGAUGGCGGAUCCGGAUAUUGUUUGGUGCGGACUUUGAGCAAAUUUUGAAGAACUCUUGUGUAAGCAGAAUUAUAAAUUAAAUCCAGUGAAAUCACAGAGGACAUUGGUAGAAUUUUAUACAGUAACACACAUAUAAUUCUUUCCUAUGCAGUGCUAUAGUUGGAAUUGAAUCUUAAAAUACACUUUAUAAAACAAGGCUAAAUAAACUUAAUUGAUUCUUUAA
rnacentral:lncRNA from 1 species